rnacentral:rRNA from 1 species
GGAGGAUCCAAGCGUUAUCCGGAAUCAUUGGGUUUAAAGGGUCCGUAGGCGGUUUAGUAAGUCAGUGGUGAAAGCCCAUCGCUCAACGGUGGAACGGCCAUUGAUACUGCUAAACUUGAAUUAUUAGGAAGUAACUAGAAUAUGUAGUGUAGCGGUGAAAUGCUUAGAGAUUACAUGGAAUACCAAUUGCGAAGGCAGGUUACUACUAAUGGAUUGACGCUGAUGGACGAAAGCGUGGGUAGCGAACAGGAUUAGAUACCCUGGUAGUCCACGCCGUAAACGAUGGAUACUAGCUGUUGGGGGCAACUUCAGUGGCUAAGCGAAAGUGAUAAGUAUCCCACCUGGGGAGUACGUUCGCAAGAAUG